ensembl:lncRNA
AUUUCCUGCAUUGGAAAGUUCCAGAAAGGGUUCCUGCGAUGAAAACAUGCUUACUACGUUCCUGAGAAACCUCUUGUAGUGGAAACAUGCUGAAGGUUCCUGAGAAAUAUCCUGCGAUGGAAACCCACCUAAACUUCCAGAGUUCCUGAAAGAUUCCUGUGAUUCACCCUCGCAUGAGAUGUAUUCCCGCUUCGUGUUCCUGGCAUAGACUCCGGAUCCACCGCCACCCUGAGCAGGAUAUGGAGUACUGCAACGUUUCAGACUCGCCUCCUGUGUCCAAAUAUACACAUCGGGAAGCUUCUGCAUCAACUACAAAACGAAAAUUCAGAAUUUAUUAUAAACGAUAAGUGAAAAGACGUCAGGAACUAAAAUCAGUCCCGG